AUUUUUCCCUGUUGCUAUAAAAACAUCUCAAGAAAUGCAUGACAAGUCUUUAGAGAAUGCCACCGAUCGCUGAGCCACUGCCGUUAAUUGCCCAUGAAUAUGGAUGGCACAAGCACCGUUCUGAUCCCAAUCUGUGCCUGUCGAGAUAAUGGGAGGUCCAGUCCACCUGUCAGAUAUCAGAUCUGUAUCACCGGCUGAAGACUCACCCUGCCCAACAGCCCCUUUAUCUUUCACAGACUUAUCUCCCAAUAAAUUUCUGAUAUGUCUA